rnacentral:tRNA from 1 species
AUUUUAAGUUAAGAAAAACUGAAGGCUUUCAAGGUCUUUAAUAAAUAAAAUGUUUAAAUCUUGAAA